AAAAAAAAAAGAAAUGGAAGUGUGGAAAUGGGAAAUCAUCGCAUUGUAUGCACGUGUUUAUGCGUGGGUAUAUACACUCGCAGUCGACGUUAUCUGCGAGUUAAGGUCAAAAAUAAUCUAAAGGGAUUAUGCGAAGAAAAUCGAGACGACGAACCAAUCGAUUAAAUUAUCGUAACGAACGUGGUUAUCGAAAGUGUGCCUACGGAUUUCGAAUUAUCGAAAUGGUCGGACAAGAUUAUGACCAUCGAUGAACUCGAAGCAAAGUCAGUGGAGUCUAAUAUAGAAGCGGGUUAGUCCGCUACCAAAUGCUCCCCGCAUUAAGGUAUAUGUUAAUAUUACUGAUUUUCCAUUCGACUGUACCAACCGACGGUUGAACUCACUGGCGUGAAUCCAAGCCAGAGUGACGUCGUUUCACGAAGCGAGUUUGAAUCUUUGCAAGAGAGAAAGAGAGAUACCAACGAGAGAUGGAUGUGAGAACCGUGAGAGGAUGAAUCUUCGUUCAGUAUUCAUAUUUGAUAUCCUUACACAUGACAGGAUAAACUUAUGUCCGGAAAUAAAUUAUCUUAAAGAAAGGAAGAUAAAGGGAAAGAGAGAGAUCUAACAGGAAUCGAAUUUCCUUAGGCUCGGAGACGAUUUCCAGGACACCCUAUAGGAACGGUCAGACGAGCGAGCGUGUUUGCGAGCGUACACAUAAACGUUGAGAAGGCAUAUACUGCACCGAAAGUGGUUGACCCUGAGAGAGCCAGGCACAAAGGACUGAUUCACCCCGCGGAGUCCUCCGAGAAAAGAACCGACCGUUUACCCGGCUUCAUUUUGUAGGAAUCUUUCCCCAUUCCUAUAAGUGACAUAAUCCUCGAGAACUCACUGAAGCGUUCACUAUAAUCUUUCUUUUUUACUUUUACUUUUAUCUGCUUCUUUCAUUCGACUCGUUUAAUUAUUAUCCAGACGAACUUUACCAUUAAUAAUAGAGUACAUUUUAGAUAAAUUUUUCUUAUCUUUUUGUUACGGUAAACUUAUCUAAUCUUACGAAGAAAGAAACUCGUUGAUAAUCCUGCAAGAUAAAUCUCUUGAUCGCUGAAAUAAAAGAAAAAGAAGAUAAAGAUUGAAAGGAAUGUUAAUUGCAUAGAUAACUCCUCUAAUUAUUAGAGCAUGCAAUUUUCUAUGACAAUAUUAAUAAGUAAAAAGUUUGUGAGGAAUAACGAGAAGAACUUAGUCGAUAAUGGCCUCACAAUUAUGCGCUCUACUCGAUGGCAUGUAGGAUUUAUUACUAUGAUAAAAAGAAAAAGAACAACGAUCUUAUAGGACACGCCUUGCUAGAAGAUUCCAAAGAUUCCAUCAACGAUGAAAAGUCGACAUCCUCGAGAGUGAUGUAACGAUCGUAAUGAAAGAACGUGUGAAAGCAUUAUGACACUCGCAUCUAUACACAAACAUACAGACUCAAAUAUGUCCUCUCGUUGACUGCACGAGAAAACCAUUGUACCGUGUGCAAUUGUACUUAGACACCGUGGGUUUUGAUCCCUCCUACCGAUAAUCUGAAAGAAAGGAAGUCAAGAAAUAACAAGCUAGGAAAACGAUUUUUGUGGAUCCACGCUCGAUACUAUAACUGUUUCUUUGUAUAAAUUCUUUUGUAUUUUCGAGUUUGAGUUAAAUUAUUGCAUGGAUUUAAUACGUCAACUUUGAUAGUAUUUUCAAAUAGUAUAAGCAAUGUCUCUUUUUUAAGAACUAUCAGUAGGAAUGCUGAUGUGUAAUUUGUGUUUUAUUUAUUAUUCUUCUUAUUUCAUAUAUUAAUAGUGUAUCAGUGUUUGCAUAUGGUAUUGCUUGUUAAUCUUAUUCAAUUAUAAAAAUAAAUUAGAUGAACUAAAUUGUGCAAAAUUUAACACAUAUUAGUUUAUCUAUCAUAAUAGAAAAUAAUUUAAAGCUAUUAAUUAUUCAGUUUAUACAGUUAGGCAAAAUAUAAAUAGAUACUCAUGUGCUUUCAUUAUACACUUUAGAUAAAGAUAAAAGAAUGUUAAACAAAUCUUGCAAAUUAUUCAAGUAAGACUUAUACUCGAGUCGUUUCGUUAAAAUUUAAUGUUAAAUAUUUAGUUAUGUCGUCAAAGUUAUUAAUAAUUUGUUAUAAAUGUACGACUCGGAUAUAUUGAAAUAAGAAGUCUGGAUUUUUCCAAGCAUUUACGUAGGUCAGUAACCAUUAUACAUGUAUAUAUAGAUACAUAUAUCUAUAUAAGGAAGUUAUACAAAGAUACAUGUAAAGUUUUUAAUGAACUCUUGUAGUUGCUGAGCUUGAUUCGGGACAUUUCUCUGUUUGUAAAAAAGCAAAGAAGAAUUUCUUUGCUUACCUUGGCAUUGAGAGAAGAUAUUUUCUAUAAAAUUAUAUAUGUACUGUGCCAAUAUUUCUUCUCUAUAUUUAUAUAGGUUAGUAAUAUCCACUGAUAUACGUCAAAGUUUUCUCCUUUUCUAUUUUUUU